AUUGAACGCUGGCGGCAUGCCUUACACAUGCAAGUCGAACGGCAGCACGGGAGCAAUCCUGGUGGCGAGUGGCGAACGGGUGAGUAAUAUAUCGGAACGUGCCCAGUCGUGGGGGAUAACGUAGCGAAAGCUACGCUAAUACCGCAUAUUCUCUCCGGAGGAAAGCAGGGGACCGCAAGGCCUUGCGCUCUUUGAGCGGCCGAUAUCAGAUUAGCUAGUUGGUGGGGUAAAAGCUCACCAAGGCGACGAUCUGUAGCGGGUCUGAGAGGAUGAUCCGCCACACUGGAACUGAGACACGGUCCAGACUCCUACGGGAGGCAGCAGUGGGGAAUUUUGGACAAUGGGGGCAACCCUGAUCCAGCCAUGCCGCGUGAGUGAAGAAGGCCUUCGGGUUGUAAAGCUCUUUCGGCCGGGAAAAAAUCGCAUGGGUUAAUACCCUGUGUGGAUGAUGGUACCGGAAUAAGAAGCACCGGCUAACUACGUGCCAGCCGCCGCCGUAA
rnacentral:rRNA from 1 species